GUGAAAACAAAAUCCCCUCUUGUUCAUGGGUGCACUAUUUUCUCUCUCCUCAAGACCGCAAAAUUAUUCAUUACUGAUAACUCUAAUUCAAUUACUCAUCAUCUUCUUCUGUAUAUCUCGCAUUCCUCCUUUCUCGGCUUUCCGAAUGUAUAUUCUGGUUCGUAAUUUCGGUUGCUUUUAGUAGUAUAGAUAAUAGUUUGAAAUUGCUAGGAAAAACAUUUAGGAAAUUCAUUCAAUUUGAUUUUGUUGAUGCCUGUUUUUGUCGAUUAAUAAAUAAUAUAUUGGAGUAAUAUAAUAUAGAAAAAUGAUGGGCUUUGAGAAUGAAGGAGGAGCUCAUCCAGAUGAUAUGCAGACCCUAAUUCUUGACGAUCCAUUAUUAUCAUCGUCAUGUUCGGGUUCUAAUUAUGAAACUGUAAUUACGCCUUUAUCUGAUUCAAAUAGUAAUCAUCCUUUAUCAUUUCGUUCAAUUGUUGUGGCACCUGCUGAUUCAGAUCCAUUGUUGUCUCCUUUACAAGGAGAAGAUCAUAUUAGCUCAAAAGAUAAUGAUUUUAACUCACAUUUUGAUGAUUCUGAUUACUCUGAUGUGUUUGUUAAUCCAAUUUUGGGAGAGGCUCAUAAUGGUGGGGAAACGAACGGGAUUGGGAGCCCUAAGGUGAGUUUUGAGAGCUUCUCAAGGUCGGAAUUGGGUUCAGAGUAUUUGCAUAUUACUGUUUUGAAUCCUCAGAAGGAGCAUGAGGUGUCAAAUUCGAUUGUUCCUGGAGGGAAUACUUAUGUGACUUAUUUGAUUAGUACAAAGACCAAUAUGCGAGGGUUUGGUGGGUCGGAUUUCAGUGUUAGGAGGAGGUUUAGGGAUGUUGUAACAUUAGCAGAUAGGUUGUCUGAGUCGUAUAGAGGUUUUUUUAUACCACCUAGGCCGGAUAAGAGUGUGGUGGAGAGUCAAGUGAUGCAUAAGCAGGAGUUUGUUGAACAGAGGAGAUUAGCAUUGGAGAAGUAUCUGAGGAAAUUGGCGGCUCAUCCUGUGAUUAGGACGAGUGAAGAGUUGAGAGUGUUUUUGCAAGUGCCUGGGAAGCUACCUUUGCGUACGAGCAUAGAUAUAGCAUCAAGGAUGCUAGAUGGGGCUGCUAACUUACCGAAGCAAUUAUUUGGGGAUUCAAGGAAUGUUGUGGCCUCACACGAGGCUGUUCAGCCUGCUAAAGGUCGAAGGGAUUUGUUGAGGUUGUUUAGAGAGCUGAAGCAGUCUGUUACAAGUGAUUGGGGAAAUUCUAAGCCGGCAGUUGUUGAGGAAGACAAAGAAUUCUUGGAGAAGAAGGACAAUCUUUUCGAUUUCGAGCAUCGUCUUACGGAUGUGUCUAAACAGGCUGAAUCACUUGUCAAAGCUCAGCAAGAUAUAGGAGAUACAAUGGGAGAGUUGGGGCUCUCAUUUAUCAAAUUGACAAAAUUUGAAAAUGAGACAGCAACUUACGACACUCAAAAAACACGUGCUUCUGAAAUUAAAAACGUAGCAACAGCUUGUGUUAGAGGCAGCAGAAUAUAUAGGGAGUUGAAUGCCAAAACAGUGAAAAACCUGGAUACCCUUCACGAAUAUCUCGGGGUUAUGUUAGCGGCUCACAAUGCAUAUUCAGAUCGUGCAAAUGCUUUGUUGACAGUUCAGACACUUCUGUCAGAGGUAUCCUCUUUGCAAUCUAGGGCUGAAAAGCUAGAAAGUGCAUCAUCUAGAGUCUUUGGUGGUGAUAAGGGCAGAAAUUACAAGCUGGAAGAGUUGAAAGAAACCUUGAAAAUUACUGAAGACUCGAAAAACUGCGCAGUCCGAGAGUAUGAGCAAAUCAAGGAAAAUAAUAGGAUCGAAUUUGAGAGAUUGGAAAGAGAAAAACAUUCUGAUUUUCUGAAAAUGCUGAAGGGGUUUGUAAAUGAUCAGGUAAACUGUGCUGAGAAAAUGGCUAAUUUAUGGUCAAAGGUUACAGAAGAUACUAGAGGAUAUAUGAAAGAAAGUUCCUGAGUGUCGUACAUAAAUGUAAACUGAAAAGAGUGUUCUUGUGUCUUUCCCAAAUUUUCCUCACUUGGAUUAAUUAAAGACAAGGUAACUGCAGUCUGCAUACUACCGACAGAAUCAGAAUCGAAAGUGUGCAAUAUAACUUUCAGUGAAGGCGAUUUUGCUGACUCAUCCCUCACUAACUUGAUCCUGCUCAUCAAGGAAAAGAUUGCUGGAUCUCUGAAGACUGAAGGCAUGGACACACAAUGGCUCCGCCAACAAGGGCUGGUAAAACAAACUCUGACUUGGGAUGCUAAUGACAUUUGUGAAGCGUUGAUCUGAAAUUAGACAAUCCAACCCAAAUUAGGCAUACCACAUACUAGUAUUCAACCCUGAUUCAACCUGAAUCAAUCAUCCAAAAUAAUCCAAGCUACGAUCAUCGCAAACUGAACUAAAUUAUUGUCAUUUGAUUUAACUGAUUCUAUUAAUUACUAGGCAUAGAUAAUCAUUAACCUAUUAUUAUGAUAAAAUUCAAACAAUGUAAUGAUCGAGAGAUGGGACUGGGGCGAAAAAUUAAUCAAACCCAUAAGUAAAUGUAUGUUGAAAGUUGGUGUAAAUAGGUUAAGGCCAUAGUUUGGGUUGAGCCGGUUUCAGUUCCAUUCAAUGCCAGUUACCAAAGUGGAACAAAAUUUGGACUGUAAGAUUUUAGGUUUCAAUCGGUUCUUUGGUGGUUUCUAGUAGUUUAGCUUCUGAAUUGGACUGGUCGGACUAUUGGUUCAACUCUUUUUUCUGCUUCAAAUGAAAUUACAAAAAAUCAUAUAAAGUAUUAAAAUAAUGGGGAUAUCUUUGUUAACUAUUACUAAAAGUCAUUUCAUGUUAAUCAUCAUUGAAAUGUUUACUAAAACGAAGAAACAAAUAUUGUUAAUAAAAAAAGACAAAUUAAUAUUUCCUCUGUUCUUUUGCUUGCACCCAAAAACCUUUUUGCGCAGUUCAAGGCGUUUGUUUGGUUGUUUAUAUUUAGAGUUAUAUACAACUAAAAAUUUAUAAAAUUUUGAUAUUAUGAAAAUAUCCUACGAGACAAAUAAAACAAGAUUUCACAU